rnacentral:rRNA from 1 species
GAUGAACGCUGGCGGCGUGCCUAAUACAUGCAAGUCGAGCGAAGCGGGGACGGGUGAGUAAAGUGUGGCGAACCUCCUAUAAGACUGGGAUAACUUAGGGAAACCGAAGCUAAACCGGAUACUGAUAGUUGGAUCCGCGCUGCAUUAGCUAGUUGGUGUGGUAACGGCUUACCAAGGCAACGAUGCAUAGCCGGCUGGAGAGGGUGAGCGGCCGACCUGGAACUUAGACACGGACCAGACGCCUACGGGAGGACGCAGUGGGGAAUUGUGCGCAAUGGGCGAAAGCCUGACGGAGCAAUGCCGCGUGGGUGAUGAAGGGCUGCGGGUUGUAAAGCUCUGUUAUUAGGUAAGCGGUACCUAAUCAGAAAGCCCCGGCUAACUACGUGCCAGCAGCCGCGGUAAUAC